rnacentral:rRNA from 1 species
AACGAACGCUGGCGGCGUGCCUAACACAUGCAAGUCGAACGGGGAUGGGGAGCUUGCCUCCUAUUCUAGUGGCGCACGGGUGAGUAACGCGUAGCUAAUCUGCCUGACGAUCUGGGAUUACACUUCGAAAGGGGUGCUAAUACCGGAUACGCCCACGGGGACUAUGGUCUUUGCGGGCAAAGGGGGGGCCCUUUUGGCCUUCUGUCGUCAGAUGAGUCUGCGUACCAUUAGCUAGUUGGUAGGGGAAAGGCCUACCAAGGGGACGAUGGUUAGCUGGUCUGAGAGGAUGAUCAGCCACAAUGGAACUGAGACACGGUCCAGACUCCUACGGGAGGCAGCAGUGGGGAAUUUUGCGCAAUGGGCGAAAGCCUGACGCAGCAACGCCGCGUGAGUGAUGAAGGCUUUCGGGUCGUAAAGCUCUGUCGAGGGGAAAGAAGUGUAUUGUGGUUAAUACCCAUGAUACUUGACGGUACCCCUAAAGGAAGCACCGGCUAACUCCGUGCCAGCAGCCGCUGUAAUAC